GAACCUUCAAAACACAAACCAAAACGCCUCUUGCUCUUUCUCAUUUCAGUCACUUUCCGGUGACAACUCCGACCAAUACUCCGUCCAUCGAUUUUUGAAGUCGUUUCGAGACUUCGAUACUAUAAAAUAGAGAUGACAAGAGAAUGAGAAACCAUCGACGGCGAUCAUGUCACUGCCGUGCUCCGAUUGCUUCACCGACCUUCUCUGCAGCGAGGAAUCAUCAGAAAUUUUCUCCGGCGAGUCGCCGGAAUGCUCGUCGGACCUCGAAUCUCCGGCAUGUGUCGAAGAAUCCAUUGCCAGUUUCAUUGAAGAUGAAAGGAACUUCGUUCCUGGAUUCGAUUACUUAUCUCGGUUCCAAUCUCGCUCUCUCGAUGCAUCGGCUCGCGAAGAAUCCGUUGCAUGGAUUCUCAAGGUGCAAGCAUACUAUAGAUUCCAG
rnacentral:misc_RNA from 1 species